rnacentral:lncRNA from 1 species
UGUACGAUCCAUCCUACCCCAACGCCGUGCGUGACCCAUCCUAGACUAACGCCGUGUGCACAACCGGGGUCCAUUGCCGGCAGCCAUCAUCUUCCCCUCUUAUCCUCUCAUCUUUCUUUCUCUCUUCAGAAGCCCAAUUGUGAGCACCACCGCUGCCAUGCGCCCAUCUCACGGCCUCUUAUCUCAGCCGCCAUUAUCUUCUUCACUGCUU